CCUCCAUAUCCAGCACCACCACCGCUUCCUCCACCAGCCCCAUAUCCACCUCCAUGCUCUCCUAUACCCGCAUAUCCGCCUCCAGAUCCACGGCCACCACCACCACCAUAACCAACUGUGAUUUCUCCACCACCAGCGACAUUGCCAGCACCGUGAGCUCCUACAUCUUGAAUGAAUAGGGCUCUAGUGGCAGAGCAAAUUGUGAUCCCCAGCAACAUAAGCAGUGCAAGAGGGGGUACUCUUGCAAGGGUUGCCAUGG
rnacentral:misc_RNA from 1 species